rnacentral:rRNA from 1 species
AACGUUAAUCGGGGCAGGGUGAGUCGACCCCUAAGGCGAGGCCGAAAGGCGUAGUCGAUGGGAAACAGGUUAAUAUUCCUGUACUUGGUGUUACUGCGAAGGGGGGACGGAGAAGGCUAUGUUGGCCGGGCGACGGUUGUCCCGGUUUAAGCGUGUAGGCUGGUUUUCCAGGCAAAUCCGGAAAAUCAAGGCUGAGGCGUGAUGACGAGGCACUACGGUGCUGAAGCAACAAAUGCCCUGCUUCCAGGAAAAGCCUCUAAGCAUCAGGUAACAUCAAAUCGUACCCCAAACCGACACAGGUGGUCAGGUAGAGAAUACCAAGGCGCUUGAGAGAACUCGGGUGAAGGAACUAGGCAAAAUGGUGCCGUAACUUCGGGAGAAGG